CAGGUCUAACAGACCAGCUAAACCCAAGGCCCUUGGAUCACUUUACAUACGGCCAGUGGAGGCUCUGGGGACCCUUUGUGCAGAAAAGCCUCUGCAUUUGAAGGCAGAAGACUACAACCGUGACUUUCUCCACUCACCAUACUUGCAUCGAGUCCCCAGCAAGGGGGGAAUGAGGUGUUUGCCCGGGACUCCUGGCAGGAGAGCUCCGGUGAAGUGAAAGGCAAGCGUCCUUGGGCUGAAAGCAGUCAGGGACUAAGUGUGGUCUGCAGAGCACAGAGCAGGUGGCGGAAGGAGGAGUCAGAAGUGGCGGCUCAGUGCUGCGCCAAAGAGCUUCCCACCCGAGGACUGCAUUUAAGUUCCUAAAUAGGGAAGAAGGUGCCAACACGACCUCAAUAGAGGAAGCUGUAAAAGCGAGUGAACAAAUUUAGCAACCUCGGGUAGCAGUUUACCUGUAACGCUUGGAACAGAAAUGGGCAGCGUGCCAGAAAGCCAGAGGCCCCUUGACAGUGGGAGGGGCGGGGCGCACGCGUGGGAGAAGGUGCUGCUGAGGGAGGAGCAGAGCGAGGACCGGAAGCAGGGUUAAGGUGCACAGGUGCAGGAAAGAUGAAGUUCAUGAAGCAAGUUGCUAAUUGGAACAAGGCACAGGACUUUCAAAACACAAGGAUUCUGGGAUUUACCGUGGAGAGAGUAUCUUAAGUGAAACAACAGCUCUCUUGUUGACAGUCUCAGGCUCUGGCAGAGGAGAUAGACCACUGGUGAUGAUGCCUAUAGGAUUAAGAAGCUAUAACCAACCCUCAAGUCCAUCCUCUGUACAUGUUUCCAGUAUUUUCCUUCUCAAGGUUCAGAUCUAGGCCUUGUGAUGGACACAGACAACUCGACAUGGCCCCUGGUUCUCAGUGAGCUUGCAGUCAAGUGGGAAGGAGAAUCCUGGAUGCUGCUGCCACUUUAAAUAAUCAUAUUCACUCAUGUUUAGCUGUGACUUCGUCAUUUGACUCGGAGCAUGUCAUUUUCUCCCAUUUUAGACUGUGUACAGUCAAGCUGUGUGAAAGGACUCACAGAUAGCAGCCCUGCGUGUGUGAGUGGGCGCAGGCCUCAUUCAGCAAUGAUUUCUAAUUUAUACAGCAUUGAAAAUCCACAGCUAUAAAUAAACAGUUCUGACUGGC